GGAGAGAUGCCUGAGUGGUUGAAGGGGACGGUCUCGAAAAUCGUUGUGCCCGUAAGGGUACCCAGGGUUCGAAUCCCUGUCUCUCCG
rnacentral:tRNA from 1 species